UGGGUCUCAUCUAGGUCAAAAGCCAAA
rnacentral:piRNA from 1 species